rnacentral:tRNA from 1 species
GCCGGUUUAGCUCAUUAGGUAGAGCAUCUGAUUUGUAAUUAGAUGGUAAUAGGUUCGAUUCCUAUAGCCGGUA